rnacentral:rRNA from 1 species
CAUGCAGUCGAACGGAGAAUAAAAUGAAGCUUGCGAUUUUUAUUCUUAGUGGCGCACGGGUGAGUAACGCGUGGAUAACCUGCCUGGUAGACCGGGAUAACAGCUGGAAACGGCUGCUAAUACCGGAUACGCUUGCGAGAUCGCAUGGUCUUGCAAGGAAAGCUAUUGUGCUAUCAGAUGGAUCCGCGUCCCAUUAGCUAGUUGGUGGUGUAAAAGACCACCAAGGCGACGAUGGGUAGCCGGCCUGAGAGGGCGACCGGCCACACUGGGACUGAGACACGGCCCAGACUCCUACGGGAGGCAGCAGUGGGGAAUCUUCCGCAAUGGGCGAAAGCCUGACGGAGCAACGCCGCGUGAGGGAAGAAGGCCUUCGGGUUGUAAACCUCUGUUUUCAGGGAAGAACAAAUGACGGUACCUGAAGAGAAAGCUCCGGCUAACUACGUGCCAGCAGCCGCGGUAAUACGUAGGGAGCAAGCGUUGUCCGGAUUUACUGGGCGUAAAGGGCGCGUAGGUGGUGCAUUAAGUUAGAGGUGAAAGUUCGGGGCUCAACCCCGUGAUUGCCUCUGAUACUGGUGGACUUGAGUGCAGGAGAGGGGAGCAGAAUUCCCAGUGUAGCGGUGAAAUGCGUAGAUAUUGGGAGGAAUACCAGUGGCGAAGGCGGCUCUCUGGACUGUAACUGACACUGAGGCGCGAAAGCGUGGGGAGCGAACAGGAUUAGAUACCCUGGUAGUCCACGCCGUAAACGAUGAGUGCUAGGUGUUGCGGGUAUCGACCCCCGCAGUGCC